GUUCUUCAGGGAUCCACUGAAGGUAAUGGUCAUUGUAGAGAGAUGUUUCUGGAGAGGACAGAAACAAGAUUAAACUGACUGAGUGGAGCUCAAUUUGAACAACAGAGAAGAGAGACAGCGCUUUAGAUGACAUCACCCUUACGGCAGAAAGUGAGGAAGAACUAAAGAGCCUCUUGAUUUAUUCUGAGUGGAACCUGUCAGAGAUUUGAAAGUGUCUUCAGAAAGUAAAUAGAAAGAUAACAAAAACUGGAGAGGCUGAGAGUGGGAAUGGAGCCCAGAGGAAGAACUUCAGAUUCCAACAUCAUUGUCUAGUUCAGUAUAACCACCUCAAUUAUCAUCAGAAAAGAAAGUUUGCUGACCCCUGAAUAGAAGACUUCUGUAAAGUUCUUAACUGUGGGACAUCAGAUCUGUGCUGAUCUUCAAGUCUGGAAGAAUAAUUAGGUAAUUUCCUUACUGCUAUAUCUUUUAUAUAUAAAUUUUAUUGAGGUAUAGUUGAUUUACAAUGUUGUCUUAGUUUCAGGUGUACAGCAAAGUGAUUCUGUU
rnacentral:lncRNA from 1 species